rnacentral:lncRNA from 1 species
GGGACAUUAACCCUGAGUGCUGCUGAGUGGAGAACACUUCAAAGGCAAGGGACAGUGAGAGAACCAGAAGCCAAUCAGAGUGAAGAGGAUGUUUGAAUAGAGAGAGAGGGGGUAUAUAAAGGCUAAGGGUUUGGGGCUUCUCUCUCUCUCCACUGUCUCUGUUCUAGCCGACUUCUGCCAAUCUGGGCAGGUAUUUACAACUCCAAGAGGACAAGAGGGGUCAGGUGAGUCUGGGGUCAACUAGACUAUGUUUACCUCCAUACAUUUUGUCCCUUUGCAGUAGCUCUGCGAGACUGGUUAAAUUCUAAUCACAAGGACCAGCGUUCCUAAUGUAUUUUACUUGUUUACUCUGCACCUGCUUAAGGAGUCUGGCAUUGACAUGUGAGCUCACAAAUGCACAUUCAAGAAAUGAGUGGAAUACAUGGCUGUCACUCUUGUUCUCUCUGUGUGGGGAGAGGCUGAGAUGACACUCAGGCGUCCAUUUGUAAAAUGGGGCCAGCGUGCUCUGCAGCCUAUUUGGCCAGUACACUGUGAUAACUAAGUGAGACUCUGCUCUGGAGGUCUCCUUUGGAAGAAAGGCACAUUACGGUUAUAAGGUGGCAAACUUUGAAAGCAUUGCUGCAGAAUUCUUCUAUAGGAACUGUUUUCUUGUGAGUAUCAGAAAGUACAAAUAUGACUCUGGAGAAGAAAUUCCACCUUUUGAAAGGCCUACAUCUCAGUUGUGAGCAUUUUUUUUAAUGUCUGGACACGCUCCUGGUGUGAAGCUCUGGUUAAGUGAUGAGUCCGACCACAGCAGUAGAACGAAGUACAGAAAUGGUAUUCAAUCAUCACUCUUACUCUGUUUCCAGGCCACCUGUGCAGAUAUUUGUAACUCAUUUUAUUUGUUACCAUUUUUAAGAAGACUAGGGGGUGGGAGAGAAUCUCAAAUACCAUUCUUUGCUAGUCCCAAUGUUAACCCAGUGAUUACUGUGUGUGAUUCAGUUUGAGAUAGAUGACCAUCAAUACUAAUCUGUCCAAUAAAAAUACAGUCUAACAUAUUUUUGGUUCAAGUUGAGGACUGAGGCCAUAACAUGCAAUGCUUUACUUUUGGUAGUGUUAAAAUAAAGAUCAAAGGGAAUUGAUGGAUGGUUUCAAAAUUGAAUGGUAUUGUUCAAGCUGAUGAAUCACAGGUCUCUGUAUUACCCUCCACCCAACAAUGCAAUUAAUUCCUAAUUUAUUUACACGUAUAUAAAAAAGAAUGUAGCUCACUUGAAAUUAUUUUAGUAAGGAAGAUUAUUGGGACCUCAAUAACCAUCAGAUGGUGUGAGACUAGGUAAAGGAAAGAUGGGUUGUUCUCAUGAUAGUCGUCUUGUUCCUUAAUCUCAUGAUUAAAGAUGAUCACUAAGAAAAAAGCUCAAGAGUUUGUUACAGUAACAGUACCACUGACUCUAGGGUGCAAGACUAAUGUGUGCCUCGUAUUCCACUAUGUGAACCUGACACCUCCCAGAUGUUAUUUCCUGAAAACUCUGGCAAAGCUGGCCUAUUAACUUCAUCACCCAGGGAGGGGGAGACAGAAGAAUGGGAUGUGGGUGAAACCGUAUGGCCAAAUAUAGGUUAUUGUCAAGAGUCUAACUUUUCUUUGGAGGGGGAGAGUUCACUGGUGUACAAUAAAUUAUUAGUAACCUGUUAUUAUUACUAUGAAUGUCCCUUUAUCUGCUUGGUUUUCAGCCGUCAAUGAAGAGCAGAAGUGCUCCACUAAAAAAUACUUCUUAAAUGUCAUCUACAUGGACUUUGUUUUGCUUUAAAGCUUCUUGUUGCACCUUUGCAUUGUGUUAAUUUUCAACUGCCUUGACUCGUUUUAGAAGCAGCCAGGACAUAAAUCCUAAAUAGCAAAGUUUUAAUUUAGCUAGUGUGUGUGUGUGUGUAUGCAAAUAUAUAAUCUUUAUAUACAUGAAUAUAUAUACCUGUAUAUAUGUGCUCAUAUGUGUAUAUGAACAAAUACAUUUAUAGGUGCCUUUAUAUUGUUAAUGACAGUUUUUCUUACAUAACACACACACACAUAUAUAUGCAUACUACUGUAUAUUUGUAUAAAGCUAUUUAUUUUCCAAAAUACAUUUUAUAGAUGAUCUUACUCUGAACUUCAUAAUCAUCCUCAGCAAAGGUUAAAUGUCCUGUCCAAAUUCACACUUAGUAAGUGGGAAAGCCAGGGCUAGCGAUGAAGUUUCCUGAUUCUUAGCCAGGCGUUCUUUCCACUACAACAGCUGUCACUGGUUACUGGGAAGGCGAGAGGAAGAAACUGAUUUAGCUUCUGUGAAGUUGAGAAUUAUUGAUAGUGACUGAAAUAUCAGCAGUACAGUUAUUUUGCAAGUCCGUCGAUCCACGAUAGUCCUAUACGUGAUUGAGUUAAGUUGUAUAAGUGGCCGUGAGUAAUAACUUUGAAAUGUUCUGUCUAUAUUAUGCUGUGUUCCACCAUCUCCUGGUGCUCUAAUUCUGUGUUACCUAUCUUUUUUAUUGACUUUGUUUUUGACAACUAAACCAUCUCAUGGCUAUUUAUCACACUAGUAAUAAAAAUACUGAUGCAAGAUACUCUAUUACUGAAGAACAUGCCCCAAACAGCUGCUGGUCCAAGGAUGAUGAGAGAUAUGUGAUGUAAAUUUGUUCCUGACCUAAAGCCUGGAGCCCAACCAACUACAGACUGAAGCAGAUCUGUCCCUGGGGACCCUCAAACCAGUGAGCAAGAAAAAUAUACCCUUAUUGUUGUAAGUCCCUAGGUUUGCAGCAAUAGCUGACUAACAUAGGUAGGUAAGUGGGCAAAGACAGGGAGUAUUCUGGAUUUACUUUGGAAAGGAGGCUAAGAAUUCAUUGAGUGGAGGCAUGAAUAGGACGUGGUGACCAACAGGAUAAAGAGGCAAUAAGGCACAAGGGGUCAAAGCUGACUGGGUGGUCAAGUCCAGGUUGAAUGUUGGCAUUGUGUGGCAUGCGUGAGUGUAUUGGGGCUGGGAGUUGGGGUCACAAUCUGGUUCUCUCAUUCUCUUUUCAAGGUCUAUGACCUCUAGUGUUGAGGGAUGCUUGGGGGAAACAAUGGAGGAAUGGCAGAUGUCUCUUGACUCAAUUGCCCAGGUUGUAGUUCUCUUUCUUUAGAUUAUCUUUGCUUCUCUGGCCAACACAAACUAGCCUGCUAUGCUCUCUGUGUAAUAGGUGUGCAAAUGCUGAGUCUAUAGUAAGUCACAUGUAUAAAUUAUUUGGAUGGCCUGCGAGGUAGGGCUCUCUUUACAGUAUUAUAAUUCAGUUAGGAAUUCUGCUCUGGCUCUACCUUGCCCACCCCAGCUCCCAUCCCCAACGUUAUAUCUUACAGCCUCUUGAUCCUUGGCUGGGGUACCAGCAAGAAAAACUCUAGCCCAGGUAUAUGUCUCCAAGAAUAGUUCUAACUAGAUACCCCAGGGGAAACUCACACCUCCUUGCCACACCAUGAAGUAGCAUUCCAGGAGCUCCUCCAAUCUAGCCACUUUAAUCAAGUCUUUUAUUCAAGAAAGCAUGAGAUAGACCAACAAGUGAGCUGCCUUCCAAGAGGCAGCCAUCCAAAUAGGGAAAAAGAAUGCCAGCCUCCUCUUUCUAAAGGCAUCCUCCAGUCAUCAAGAUUAGGUCUCUUCUCACUUGGUCGUGGUAUGGUUAAGAGGUGGUAGUGUAGCUACAGGAGUUUCCCUCAAGCCAACAACUCAGAGCUGGCACUCUUGAUUACUAUGCAAUCUGCCAACAGAGAGAGAGGUAAAAUCUGUAAUAUUGACUUUUAUCUGCCUGGAGCUGGUAGUUGAAGCUUUGAGGAUGGGUGGAUUCUCAGAAAGAGAGAGAGAAUGUAGGGAGAAGAGUUGACUAUUAGAGACUAACACAUUUGAGUGAUAGAAAGAUGUGGUGGAGGCAGAGAAAGGGUCUAAGAGAGAGUCUGGAUCGUCGCCUAAUGGGAAAAGAAAUAACCCAGCUUAUAAAGUGAAUCAAAUCAGUUUUGCCCAGAAUCCUAGGCCCUCACUUUGCCCUGGAGGUGUGUCUACAAAGAAGACUAAAGUACCCUGGUUUUGGAACAGCUGUUUACUGGAAUCCUGUGCCACUUUUAGGUGUGAUGUUCCAGUUCACCAGAAGCCUGGUUACCAGGUAGGUGGAAUUGUGAUCAAAAUCAACUGGAGCCUGAAUCCUUGGAAAUUCUCUGGUUUAAAGAAUUACAAUGACGGCUGAUGAAAGGAAAGAAUUCUCAUGUAACAAAAAGGAUUUCAGAGAAUAGCUUACACUGUGUAACUAUUUAAAACUGUAGAUUUUAGCUCUCUGUUUACAUUCUCUUUGUUGCACAUUCAAGGUGGAAAACCUAUAGGUGAAACUGCUAUAAAAUUUUUUUUCAAUAAUUUUGUUUUUGUUAAACAAAAUGAACUGUUCUGAGUUACUUUCCCUAAGAUGGCUGAACUGGGCGGUGAUUCUUUGGUAACACAGUUAGAGAAACUGUGGGGAAACAGGUAUUAUGAUCAUGGGUGUAUUGUAUAAAACUACGUGAACCCCUAUGAAGGGCAAUUUGUUAAUAUCUAUCACAUUUCCAAAUGCAUAUAUCCCCUUUGACCCAGCAAGCACAUUUCUGGAAACUUAUCCCCACAAAAUAUUGCUUUGCUACAAACUGGUGUUAUUUAAAAGGGUCUUGUUUGAACAGCAAAAGAUAGGAAACAACCUAAAUGUCUAUCAGUUGUGGAGGAGUUAAAUAAAUUAUAGUAUAUCCACAAAGUGAAAUUUUAUGCACCUGUAAAAAUAAGGCAAUUCUUUAUGUAAUGAUGUGGAGGAUCUAUAAGAUAAAAAAAGCAAAGUACAUAAAAUUAUGUCGAUUAUGCUCCUUUUUAUGUAAGAAAGGAGGGAAAAAUAUAUUUGUAUUUGCAUACACAAGAAAGCAUAUGCAAGAAGUGAAAAGACGUCAUUACCUGAGGAUGGAGAAGGGUAAUGAGGCAGGUGUUGGAGAAAGACCUUUCACUGCAUAUAUUUCUAUAUAUUUUUUGAACUGUGUGAAUGUAUUUCCUAUUAAAACAUUUAAAAACAAAAUGGUCACUUUUAUGUAACUUUGUUUUUUCAUUAGAAAUAGAGUCUGUGUUUAAUUAAUAGAUAAUUACUCAUUUGUUUGUGGAUCAUCCAUUAAAAUUGUUGGUGUUUGGAGCAAAGUGCUUGACUUAAGCAUCAGGUGUUUUGAAUUUGGGUCCAUCAAUUACUAAUUGUAUGACCUCAGAUCUGUCUCUUCUCUUUGUCAUUAAGUUUUCUCAUUAGUAAAAUAAGUUAAUCCAGAUGAUUUCUGUUCUUCCAGUUCCAAUCCACUUUUUUCUUUUUCUUUUUCUUUUUUUGAGGAAGAUUAGCCCCGAACUAACAUCUGCUACCAUCCUCCUCUUUUUGCUGAGGAAGACUGGCCCUGAGCUAACAUCCAUGCCCAUCUUCCUCUACUUUAUAUGUGGGAUACCUACCACAGCAUGGCUUGCCAAGCGGUGCCAUGUCCACACCUGGGAUCUGAACCGGCGAACCCCACGCCACUGAAGUGGAAUGAGCGCACUUAACUGCUGCACCACCGGGCCAGCCCCUCUACUCUUUUCUUUACUUUCCCAAAUGAUUAGGAAUUCCAACAUUAUCCUGAUGUUUCCCUUCAAGAAACUUGAUUAGGAAGACUAACACUGUCACAUCUUGGCAUCAGGAUUCUUUGGCUGCAAGCAACUGAAACUAACCCUGGUUAGCUUAAGUGAAGAAUAGCUCAUAGAGUCAAGGAAGAACUGGAAAACCAAAUAAGGAAUUUGUGUAUAUUCUUUCUAGGGCGCCUUUAUUGGAUGAUUCCUUUCAACUGUCUUAUGUGGCUGUGUGUUUCUCAUGAAGAUUCAAAUUCCCAGGAGAUAAAAUAUCUGAUUAUCUGAAGCCAAGGAAGCAGGGUCCUGCCAUUGUAGCCACUCUAGGAUCUCAGGUUAUGAGGGAUAAAUGGUUCUCCAACAAAGGGCUCCUGGGCAGACAAAAACAAUGCCUGUCCAGGAGAGCAUUCUAAACAGUGCUGCUCUUCAACCAUGUAGUUGGUCGGAGCUGAUGGGCUCCAUUUCAUGCCUCUGCAUACAAUUCAAGAUCAACACAGUAGUUGGAUGGAAGAGUUAAAACUAGGGGAGAUCAUGUUAUUGCUGUAAGAAGAAAUUUUAUCCCAAGCUUCUAUAUCAUUGUCAUAACCUAAGGUUGAGAGAACACUAUUCCAUGGGUCAGAGGAUAAUUCUCAAAAUUGCUAAAAACUUAAAAUUCAUAGAUACUCAAAAUAAUGACCAUGAUAUUCAUCUCACAAUAGUUUAGAUAUUUCUGAAAUUCAUCACUAGCCACUUUUGCAAAGGACUACCAUAUGACACAGAGAUCUUUAUGUUGAAGUUGUCCAUCUAUAUAGCAGUUGACUUUUUUCACUGGGACUUGCCCUAUUUGCAAUGAUUACUGUAGUGAUUACUACAAUGAUUACUGUUCCAGUUCCUACUGGAGGCCCCUAUAGAAUUGCUUUCUGACAUGGAAGCAAUCUCUCUGAUCAACCAAUAUAAUUCCUGUCUCACACAGAUGAGGAAACUGAAUCCCAGACAGGUUGUGUGAGUUGCCCAAGGUCACACAACUAGACGGUAAUAGAAAUGGUACUAGACAAUAGACAUCUUGCAUGAGGGAUGGUCUUUUUUUCACCACCCCGUGUCACUCAGUCUAGUUCUAAUUUUAGGUAGAUCAAGCCUAUGCGUGAAGAGGUAGGCAUCACUGCCAUUCUCUGACAACCUUCUGGGUGUAUCUCAUAGUCUUUGUGCUAUUCUAAACAUUUUCUUUCAUCAUGGUCUUGAAACUAUCUUUGCAAUGCAUUAGCAAGUGCUCAGAGGUGUGAUUGUCCAGCCUCUCCCUGGCUACUCCUCUGUACCUUUUAGCAGACUUUGGAAGCUUAUGUCAUCCUGUUGGCUGUCUUUCUGUACACUGGGGGACAUCUCUGCAUUUCAGUCUUCCCAGCUCUUGCAAUUAAGAGUUGCUUCAUUAGACCAAAGUCCUAAUAAGAAUAGUGAUCCUUUCCUCCACAGCAAGCAUGCAUGAAAUAGGCUAUAUUUCUUGUUAAUUUUCAUACAAAUUUCUAUAGUCGAGAAAAGCAUGCCUCAGUAUAUUUAGCUUUACUUUUAUUUUUGGCACUUCCUUCAGAGCAGAAUUGUAUACUAUGGAAUAUCCAGGUCCUAGUAGUCAAUGUAAAUGUAAUAAGGAUGUUAAGUCUUCCUUCCUUCCUCCCUUCCUUCCUUUUUCUCUUUCUUUUAUUGUAUUUUAUUUACCUUGAAAGAAAGAAUUCCCAUCUUCUCUGGUAGGCUGAAUUGCUUCUCUUACUUGUCUAUACUAUGCCCAAGGUAUAAGCAGCAUAUCCCCAAAUGGUUAGACUUGUGUGUUUUUACAUCCUGUCUAGGAUGUUAGACAUUAUUACAGCCACUGAGACAUGUGGUGCAUUUUAUUCAAUUACUCCUGUUGUCAUUUUGUUGUUUUUCUGAAGGGUCCUCUUGAGAUCCUCAGACUUUCAUCUUCCUCUUCUGUUUGUGGUCUUUUGGGCUGUCUUACUGUUUUUUUGACCUUUGUUAUUACCAAUUGUUCCAGAAUCACCUCUCUCUUCUUCUCCCUCCCUUCCUUCUCUCUCUCUCUAUUGCGGUCUCUCCUUUCUUUCUUUACUUCUAAAUCCUUUCCACUCAUUCCCUAAUAUAUCCAUUCAAUAGGUAUCUUGGAGUCUACUAUUUCCAAUGGUGGCCCAAUAGACUCUGUGAAGUCAGAGAUGAGUACUUUUCCCUCUCAUAAAAUGGGGAAAGAAGAGAACCUACUUUAUAGUGUUGUUAUGAGAGAUGAGAUACCAUGUAUAAAAUGCUUGGAACAGUGUCUGCUAGCCAGGAAGCACUCAAAAAUGUUAUCUUGGGGCAGGCCCUGUGGCAUAGUGGUUAAGUUUGGCAUGCUCUGCUUUGGUGCCCAGGUUCGCAAGUUUGGACCCUGGGCACAGCUAUACGGUCAUUAGCCAUGCUAUGACAGCAACCCACAUUUAACGUGGAGGAAGAUUGGCACAGAUGUCAGCUCAGGACUAGUCUUCCUUACACAAAAAAAGAAAAGAAAAGAAAAGAAAAUUAGCUUUUACUAUUAUUUUAGUGACAAUAACCCCAAAUGUCUUACAUGGUAGAAAGAGAUUGGAGUUUUCAAGACUGCACAGCCUUGAGUAGUACCUUCUUAUCCUCCUCUCGCAGUUCAGUCUCCAGUCCUGUGGAUAAGCAGGAUCCUACUCCAAGUGAUUGAGUUAAGGAGUCUUUGAUCAGCACAGAUGGCUUUAUUAUUUUCCUCUUUUCUUGUGUCUACGAGGUAAACAUCAGUUUUCUAAAGUUUUUGUUUGUUUGUUUUUGAAGACUACUGGUCUUAAUACAUUUUUUUCCUUGAUCUGUUUAUAAUCACACAGGUGCCCUUGACUUAACGGUAAAUUUUUAUGUAAUGAUAGAAUCAUAGGUCACGAGUUCUGGUUGGGGUCCAAGUGUUCAGAAAGACCAUUGUAAAUUUCCUUCAACCAGCUUUAGUUUUUCCAUAUUGCUUGAAGUCCAUGAGAAUAUUACUCUUUUCUUCUCUCUUUCCACCUGCUACGUGGACGGGGAUCUCUCAGUGUUUUAAAGCUUUUGAGUUUACCUCUUCGUCGCACCUUCUUUGUAUGUAUUUUUAAUUUUUGUUACAAAGUUCUCAUGUCUUACUGCCCCCUUCAAGCACAUUUUAAUUACUUCCUGUUAUAGGUGAUGCUUUUUUUCACUGUUGGAUAACUGUCUAAUUUCUAAGCUUUGGAAGACAAUUUCAGCUAUAUUGUCGUGUGAGCAGAAAAGAGAGCUGUUUACAUUUCACAUGGCUCCAUAUCUCCUUCCUUGUAUAUCCUCUUCAUUUUCCUAAUUCACAAACUUUUUCUAUGUUUGUUCCAAGGAACAUGUCAUGCUAAUACUAUGUAAAGAGACACUUUUUAAAGGUUAUGCCCCUCCUAUGUUUUCAUAUUUCUCUAAAUUUUCUGUAGUUUCCUAGAGACAGAGCUCAUAUUUCUUUCCAAUCUCUCAUAUUUUUUUUUUCCACAAAGAAGGGAGGGGAUAUGUAAUCCCAAACUUUUUGUUUUUGACCAGCUACAAUUAAAUUUACAUCUGUGUGGUCUUCUAGUUUAGAUCUCAGGUCCUUUUGACUUCUGGGCCAGUGGGGAUUACUUCCCCUUGGGACCAGGCACCAUAUCUUCCUCUUCAGAUUCAGAUUUGUUGUUGAACUUAAGCGACAUCUAUUUAUUUUUCUUCUCCUAGAGUUAAAUGUCUAGCCAUUUGUAUUUAUAGCAUUUCUUUUGUAUUACAUAUUCCUAUUUGUACUUUUUCAAUUUUAAUGCCUCUACCAAGACUUCUUUUGAAUAUUUUUUCCUGCCUCCUUUGAGUCCUCUUUCUGCUUUAUCUAUUUAUCUCAGGCUGAGUUACUCCUAUCGCUGCAAUGGUUUAGCCUUUCAUUCAUUCAACAGAUAAUUUUUGAAUCCCUACUAUAUGCUAGGCACUAUGCAAGGCCUUGGAAAUGCAAGAGUGAACAAGGCAGAUAGGCAGUCUGCUCUUAUGGAGUUUUCAUAUUAGUGUGGAAGACAGAAAAACCAAGUAAAUAAAUAAAUGAAUAAUACAAGUUCAGAUAGUGACAUAUGCUAUGAAAAAAAUAAUUUAGCAUAAUGAAGUGGAGAGUUGGGUUUAGGUAAGUAUGCAAGCUAUUUUUUUUAAAUAAGAUCAUUAAGGCCUCUCUGAGAAAAUGACUUUCAGCUGAGAACACAAUGAUGUAAGAACUGGAAGAAAGCAUUCCAGGCAAAGGCAACAACAAGCAUGAAGGCCUUGAGGUGGGAAAAAAACUACUGAAGGAACAGGGAGAAGGCCAUUGUGGCUAUAUCAGAGCCAGAGAAGGUAAGGUGGAGAGGAUGACUUUGGAGAAGUGGAAAAGGGUCAGAUCACAUUGGAUGAUGCCAUCCAUCUUACUGGAGGUCACUAUUGAAUUGCUUAUGGAAGGCUGUAAGCCUUGGUACUGAUUUUGGAUUUUAUUCUAAGGGUUUUAGGAGGCCAUCAGAUGGUUUUGAGCCGGGGAAUGAGAAGAUAUGAGUUUGAAAGAUCACUUUGGCUGCUGUGUUUAGAACAGACUGUGAGGGAGAAAGAGUCGAAGGAAUGGGACCAGUUGGAGGCUGCUCUUUUUAGUUGGAGUGGUGUUCUGAUUUGCUGAAUCCAAGUGACCCAGACUGAUUUACAGAGGGUCAUGAUUUAUUUCAUAUAUAGGAAGUCCAGUAGCAGGGUGGACUUGAGGGUUUGUUGUCUCAGCAACUCAAUGAUAUCGUCUACCCUCUGCUAUCCUGGAUUUUGUUUCAUCCUCAUGCUAGUCACAAAAUAGCUGCUGUAGCCCUGAGGAUCAUGCCCUAAAAUGACCAAGUCUGGAGGUAGGAGAGAAAUUAUUACAUCAUGGGGCAGUCUCUUAGCAGGUGUCCUUUCUUCUAAAUUUGCCCUGCACCCUUUUUGAUCAGAACUGGUUACUCCUGAACCCAUCACUCAUGGAAGGUAUAGAAAAUAUCAGAAUUUACAUGGGCCAGUGAUUUGAGGUUGGAAUGGAUAAUGGGGAAUCAGCCCCUACUUCUGUAGUCCAGAGAGAAAUAAAUACCCACUGCCUAGCCUAAUGUGUGAUAUACAGCAGGACCUCAAAUAAAACUAAAUCAAAACCAAACAAAUCAACCCUCCUUCUUUGGACUCUUCAGAAAAACUGAUAUUCCCCCCAAGGCAUUUCUGUUUCCAAAUAGUGUUGUCCUGCCUGUAACAUAACAAGAAGAUAUUCAACUAACUUUUCAAAUUUGCUUAUAAAGUGAGUGAAUAUCUGAAUGUCUCCUGUAUGAAAGGUAACACUCUGGGAAGUUUAGAGUGAGAACUGCGUUAGACUUUACCACCAUCCUGUGAAGCAGGGAUUUCUAAAUCCAUUCUGCAGAACAAAAAGCUGAUCCUAAUUAAAUUGAUGAAGGUCACACAGCAAUUUUUGCCAUUCUCCAAAGUCCAUAUACAUUCUUCUAUAAUUUUAAGAAUAAAAUAAAAGUAUAUUUGUGGCCAGAGUUGGAUUUGCAUACUUGACUCUUUUUAAAGGAUUCUAAAUCAAUAGCUUGCCUAGAUCUUGAGAGCUGGAUCUCAUUUUUAGCUUCCAAAGGCUCACAGGCAAUAUGAAAAGCAAUAAUCUUCAAAUUGAACAAAUAAAGAUCAGAAGUGAUAUAUCACCUGGAAGCAGACUCCAGAGGCAUAUCACUUCUAUUUGACAUCUCACAUGUAAUAAAGACAGAGCCUAAUUAUUUUAAAAAUACUUUGGUGGGAGGAGGGUAUUGUUCUGUGGAUGUUGAGGUGCUAGUCUUUUUUGAAAGGGGUAUUACGAAGGACUAAGUCAACAAAAAUACAAACUCUUUCCACCUGAAGGCAAGUUAUUUAUUCCACUCAGUUUGGGUUUUGUCUUUGUGUUUUUAACCUCUGCCUCAGUGUGUACUCUGCACACUUAUUGACCAAAGCAUGGCUGCUGAGAUGUGAAAUUAGGUGAUUUAAAGAUUCACUUCUGAUUCCCAAGAUGUGCUCCAGGGCAUACUGUGAUGUGCUUUAGGGCAUAAAAUGAUCUCACGCUGGGGCUAAGGGGGAAAAAACAUCUCUGCAGUAGCAAUAAAUAUUACAUGGUGGCAUGGUGGUUAGAAGAUAAUGUUCUUAAAAAUUUUCCGAAUAACUAUAUUUUUCAUAAAAUCAGAUUAUAAGGCAGGAAACUAAACUAUAUCAAUCGUUGACUUAUUAUACAGUGGAAACUCUCUAAGUUAUUCAAUAUGUUGUAGGUUGUUCUCAUCAGUUCAAAGAUGAAAUUCACUUUGUUUUUCUCUAAACUAGUUUUGGAUUAAUGUGUGGAGCUAAAAAUAAACAUAAAACGUCUGGGAGAGUUUUGGUGCACCCAGAUUUUAAUUUGUCCAUAGUAAUGAGGGAAAAAGGAGAUGGUAGCCCUUGAAUGUCCAGUUCUAAAGAACGGAGUAUUGGUGUAGAAAACAAGAUAAUUCUACCAGGGCUUUGACUGAUCUGCCAUUUGCAUAAUCAGGAGUAAAGGACAGUCUUAGAGUAUAGUCUUCCAAAUAACUUUUAUCUGUGUUACCAGAAAACAAUGAAACAUUGACUCAAUGCUUCCUGAGCAUGUUCCUUUCUACCCUCUGGCAGAGCUUCUAAUAAGUGAACUGAUCAGAAAACAGUGGAGGAAAGUAGGCAGAAAGAGAAACAAGGAAUCUGGGUUAAUUUCCAAACUGAAUAAUCAGCUUCCUACUAAAAAAGAGAAUUGGCAAGGCUGUAUGGAAGGUUCCAUGAUUCCUUCACUCCCAUUGUGGCCGCAGUAUGUGAGCUGGCAAGAGAGACCUGCAAAUACUAUGGAUAAACCUAAUCAUUUCUCAAAGGCUCCUAUUUAACUCACUAUAAUUUAAGAUUACACAGCCCUACUUGCCCUGCAUACAUCCUCUUCUGUGUUGAGUCUACCACUUUGCUUGAGAACCUAACAAUCAUCGCUCUGAAUGGUGUGUUCACAUGGAGCGCUUUGUAGUUGGUGACACACUUGGGGAUUUGCAAGCUCGGCCCACAAAAAAAAAAAUCUGUCUUUCCUCCCUGAAUCUUGGAAAAACUUGGCCACUAUCCCAGUGGCGCAUAUUCCCUGAUUGCCUGCUCCAGGCUUCUUUUUAUGACUAAAAAAAAAAAGAAUCCCUGCUCAUUUGUGUUGCUCCAGGUUGGUGCAAAGUCCUGCUUGGGACUCAUGGGCUUGUGUCCCAAACAGCCUAGAUGCUGCCCAACAGAGCAGAGAUUGUCCAAAUGCUUAGAAAACCUGCAGAGCUGCUACUAACAUACUGAUUUUAUGUAUAAGGAAAUGGAACUCAGAGAGUUUAAAUGACUUAACUCAACUUCACACAGUGCGUGUCAGAGCCAAGAUAUGGACACAGGUUGGUCUGAUGCUGACGAUCAUGCUCUUUCCAAUAUACUGUGCUAUCUCCCAGAUUUAUAUGAAGGGAAAAAAGUAGGCAUCAAGAGUUAAGUAAAAGUUGUCUUCAAGUAAAAUGGUGUGUGGCACGUAGUAAGCAUUUACUAAAUAUUCUUAAUGAAAGAAAAAUGAAUUAAUGAGCAAUUAGUUUCUGAAUUUUUUUCUCCUUUAUGCUCACUAAAUUUUUAAAAAUGAGCAUUCACUACUUUUACAAUUACUAAAAGAAGAAAAAAAGAAAGAAAAAAGAGCUGUUCUUUUCCAGAGAUGCAGAAAACAGUUCCAGAAAUAAAAAAUGCCUGUAAAGAAGUUUUGGCUGAAGAAUGUUCUUCAAGGUCAAAUCAUCACUCUUAGCACUGGGUCAGUUAUUGUUGGUUGAGUGGAGUCAGUUCUUAGAAAGGUCAAUGUCACACAGUGACCUUGUAAUUCUCUUUCCCUUGGUCUCUCCAUCUGUGAGCAGAUUAAAUUCCUGUCAUCGAUCCAGGAGAAGGAGAUGUUAAAAGGCCUCGGGAGUAGAGAACAGUGUUAUAAGUAAAUUUGCAAGCCAGGAUACAGUCAACAAUUACUUGAUUUAUAGCCCACAAGCUUUAAACACAUCACAGAGAAGAAGAGAAGGGAAGGAAACGAUUAGCAACGUGCAUUCACAGACCUUGAUAUAUCAUAAUUGCAUAAUAAGAAUUGUAUGCUGUGAAAAUCAGCCUUGCCUUUCCUACGUGAGGUGGGGAGCCACAUCUAAUUUUUGGAUCUCCAGCAUAAGGUAAGAUAGGUACAUAUAGAUUCUAAAAACUUAGAAAACAGAAUUUUGGAAGGCAAAUCUCCUCUCCUAAUGAUUUCUAAAUUUUGAGAUGUGUUGUCAUGGAAAAUACUGGAACCAGAAGCUUAGCUUAACAAAUCACACAGACGGUUUAGGGCAAAAAUGCUCAAUCCCACCCCAUACAAUAAAUUGCAUAAAAGAGUUAUCCUAUUGUCUAAAGCAGCGCUAUUCAAUAAACUUUCUAUGAUGAUGGAAAUUAUCUAUUCUCAGCUGUCUAAAACAGAAGCCACUAGGCAUAUGUGGUUAUUGAUCACUUGAAAUGUAGCUAGUGUGACUGAGGAACUAAAAUAUUAAUCUUAUUUAAUUUUAAAUAGUUUGAUGGAAAUUUAGGUAGCCACAUGUAGCUAGUGGCACAGGUAUAGAGACAAGUUAAUAUACCAGACAUUUCUAUUGCAUGACCCCUGCUCCAAGCAUGGUUAAUUCCAACAGCCAUACUGGCUUGUCAAACUCCAUAGGUCAGGAGAGCCCUCUCAGAAACCAUACUUCGAUGAGAGAAGAUUCUUUCCCCAUAAAUCCAUGACUCUAGAAGUUCUUAACCCUGGCAUCCUCUCGCAAUGAGGAACCCAAAGUCCCCUUCAAGCAAUUGUUGGCUUCUUCAUUGAGUGGCUACUUCUCUGUAGAUAAUGGCAAGGGACAGACAGACAUAGGACUUUUCAAGAACACCAAUUCCAUAUGAAUCUCUCUGUAUGCGUUAGUGUUCAUGCAGACAGUCACUCACUUAAACAAUACUGAGUGUCCGUCACGGACCAGACGCUAUUCUCUCAAAGAUAACUUUCCACUGCUAACAUUUUGAUGUGUUGCCUUUCACUCCCACUCCAUAUGCACGUGGGGGACAGCAUGGCAUGAAGGAAGGAGCUUUGGAAGUGGACCAAACUGAAAUAGCACUGUUUCCUAGAACAGAGCUUGGCAAAAUUUUCACUGUAAAGGGCCGUGUAAUAAAUAUUUUAGGUUCUGUGAGCCACAUAAUUUCUUUUAUAACUCUUCAACUCUGCAGUUGUAGUGCCAAAUAAACCAUAGACAAUACAUAACCAUAUGAGCUUGGUUGUGCUCCAAUAAAACUUUAUUUAUCACACUGGAAUUUGAAUUUUAUAUAUUUUUCCUAUAUCACAAAAUAUUAUUUUUCUUUUGAUUUUUUUCAAUCAUUAUAAAACGUAAAAAUUAUUUCCUAGCUCAUGGGCCAUCCAGAGACAGGUGCUGGAAUAUGUUUGGCCCACAGACUCUCAGAGUUUUCUGACUCCUGGCCUAGAACAUAAUAAAUGAGAAUAUGUCUAUGAUACAAUGUAAGUAAAAACUCUUUGUGAACAUUUUAGUAUUUCCAUAAUAUUCUAUCAUGUGAGUGUAUGUUUAGUGUGUUGGUUUUCUUUAUUUUGGGAUUUUUAGGAUUUUUCCAAGCUUUAGUCAUUAAAAUUAAGAUGAAUAUCUUUGUUCCUGAAGAGUUUUAUUGUGGAUCAUUAUGCAAGUUGGAGGGUGUAAAUAUUUAAGAUUUUUGCUAUGUUGUUGCCGCUUCUUUCCAAAAAGUUGCCCAAACUAUAUUCCACAACAGCACUAGGUGGUCUUUUUCAAAUUUCCUGAAAUUUAGCCCUUCUGUAGGUAACUCUGCAGCUUCAUUAGCUGGAGUUUAAUCCUAUAUUUUAAAAUUUCUUCAAACUUACUUUAAAGACAACUAGGCUGGAAUAUGCUAAUUGGAAUUUUCCCAAAUAAUAGAAAAGUAGCUAAAUAUUAAUUAAAUUAAAAACUCCUACUAGGAACCAUACUUUUCUGCCAUCAAAAACAAUGGGCAUGAGUUUACUUGAAAAUACAUUAAAGGUUAAUCUUAUGUGGCGUAUUUAGAUUUGGAGAUGUCAUGAGUCACAGGAGAGUGAGUCUCUUCUUGAGAACUCAAGGAGCUCAGGCAAUUGGGCUGGGCUCAACUGAAUGGUUCAGACACUCUAUUGUCUGAGAUCAGAGCCUAGAACAGGUUUAGGUUUAAGUUGUAUUAAUGAAAUAUCUACUAUAACUGUGAGUCUCCAGAUGCAACCCACAAACCAGUAAUAGUCUGAGAUCAAGUUUUCAUCCUCCCAUAGAGAAAUGCAUAACGUAAAACUAAAUGUAUUCAAUUUAAAUGUAAAGAUCUACUUUUUUGUUGUUAAGGUGUCUUUCUUUUGAUAAAAUAAUGGUGUUCUAUAGAUGUUUUUUCAUAAUGAUAUUUGACAAAAUAAGCAAUAACAUAUCCUGUG